rnacentral:rRNA from 1 species
CCUACGGGAGGCAGCAGUGGGGAAUUUUGCGCAAUGGGCGCAAGCCUGACGCAGCAACGCCGCGUGAAGGAAGAAGGCUUUCGGGUUGUAAACUUCUUUUCUGAGGGACGAAGAAAGUGAAGGUAACUUAGGAAUAAGCCACUGCUACCUACCUGCCAGCAGCCGCGGUAAUACGUAGGUGGAUUGUUACGUAAGUUGUGAAAGUUGGGGGCUCAACCGUAAAAUUGCAGUUGAAACUGGCAGUCUUGAGUACAGUAGAGGUUGGCGGAAUUUGUGGUGUAGCGGUGAAAUGCUUAGAGAUCACGAAGAACUCCGAUUGCGAAGGCAGUUCACUGGACUGCAACUGACACUGAGGCUCGAAAGUGUGGGUAUCAAACAGGAUUAGAUACCCGGGUAGUC